UCUCUUUCUCCCUUGCUCUUACUCUUUCUCCCUCCCCCCACAAGACUUGGAGAAUGGAUCACAGAAUACUACGGCCGGGAACACAGACUUCCUAUCUGUGAUGAGAGGUUCAGCCUCCCAGGUGCCGUGGGUACUCUUAGGGAUGGGGAUCCUUCACUCGGCAGCAGUGCGAGGACACGCCAUGUCCCACGCUCACCCUUUGAGAUGCCAAGGUACCUGGCUUUCCUAUUGCAGUCACAGCACCUUAAGGACAUGGAGGCGCAGCGGGGAACAUAGGGGUCUGGCAGCCAAGGGCAAGACGCCGGCACUAGGCUCCCUCGAGAUCUGGGCGGGGCAGCCGAGUCGGCAGCGCGCGGCCGGGGCUGAUAGGAACGCGCACCGCCUCCAGGAGUUCGCGGCCCUGUGUGCUCCAGCCCCAGAACCAGAGUCGCACGAACUCAGUGGGAUGCGGUGCUCUGAGAGGAUCCCAAAAGCCACGAGGCGCCUGGCACAUCGCAAGACGCGGCUCAGCACCAUCCUCCUGUCACACCCACUUGUUUUUCUCGCUUUCGAUGGUUCCGAGCCACAAGCAGGUCCAAGUGGCACCGACCCCUUGGCGGUCAAUUCGGACUAAUGGCUGGCUGGAGAGGGCCAGGGCCCAGGUCAGAUGCAAGCCAGAGCAGGACGCGCUACCCCUGCAGGCAGCCAGCUUGGUUUUCCACAAGCAUCAAGAGACGUGGAAAUCUGUAUGGACCACAGGUCCAGUAUGAUGGUUGGAAAACAGCUCCUUCCUGGAAUUGCUUUGGAAUUAAAAGUAGAACAACCAUUGAGGAAAUAGGCUCCAGUUGAUUGAAUGAACAGCCACAGUCCAGCAAGCUUGCCUUCCUGUGGGGAGUCUACAAAGGAGUCACUAUGAAGUGGCUUUUCUGAUAUUCUAUUGCAGGUAAGUUUACAAAUAUUUAGAUCAAAUGAAAAUAAGAAUUCAGGUGUGGGGGUGGCUUCUCUGACAAAAUGAGAAAGUCUCAGGCUUAGCUGUCACCUCAAAAAAUUUAGUGACAGUAAUUCAAAACUCCAUAAAAAUCCACAAAGUUACUUGAUAUAAUGGUGAACUGAAUAAUAUUUUAAAUACUCCAUCAGCUCUCCUUUAUGGUUACAACAGGAUUGAUGGUGUUUCAGGAGGUAUGGUUCUCAUCAACAUAGGGUCCCACGGGAACUUCAGAGUGCUGGGGACAUCUUCACCACUGUCCACUAUUAUCUGUAGCAAGUUACACCCUUAUUCAACACUGCUCAGUCCUUCUGAAAUUCCUGUUUAGAUUUAUCCUCAGAAAUCUAAUUUAAUAUUUUAAAACUAAUUUUUACUUCUGACUGCCCCAAAUUCUACGGCCUAAUCACCCGUUUCUCUGUCCUCAUCUCCAGUGGCUUUUGAAUAUUUAAAAGAUAAAUCUUUAAAGAAAGAUUGCUUCUUUCUUUUAAAUAAGACUGCUAUUAUUUUAAUAAGCCAUUUCAAAAGAUUCAUGCCGAGUAUGGCAUGCCUAGCUCAUUAGGAAGUGACUCGCUCCUCUGGGUGUCUUUUGGCUGUGGAAGAAGACCCUCACCUGCUGUCCAAGCAUGGUCACAAUUCUCUUUUUUCUUCUCCAUGACCAAGUCCUGUUACUUUUUCAGGGUAGCACCCAGUCUGACCUUACUUCCUAUCCCUUCUAAGUUGAAGAUGGCAGCCCAGGCAGUGCAGAUUAAUCUCCACUGCCCUCUACCCAGUGGAAUGCUCAAUCCAUUUGACUAGCUCAUGUCUCUCAAUAAGACCUCUACUAUCUCUUCCUCAGACCUAGCAGUGUGGCUCCUUUCAUCCAAGCACCUGGGUGCACACAGCAGAUAAUCCUGGAACAACCAAGUCAACUGCUCUUCACAAGAGCACAGGUCAGCUGGAAGUUGGUAUCACUUGUAACCACCCUUUCUUGCAGCCAUCUUUCACCUACUUGGCCUCUGGUGUGGAAUCCCUUGGCUUUAUUAAAAUGUACAGAUUUCUUGUCAUUUUACAUACAUAUGGCUGUGGUCUCACUUUCUGUGGUUUGUUAUCUAUAAUAAAUUGUAGACCAGAAGUAUUAAAAAUGGAAAAUUCCAGAAAUAAAAACAAUUCAUAAGUUUAAAAUGACAUAUUGGAGAAAUGCACUGGUACUGCCCUAGAUAUAGUUCAGUUGUCCAGUGUUUCCAAGCUGUAUAUGCUACACUCCAUCAGGCACUUAGUUCAGUUAAUAUCUACUUUCAUUCAAGUAAGUCUUAUUUACUUUAGUAAUGGCCCCAAAGCACUAUGAUGGCAAUUUAGAUGUGUCAAUGGAAAGCCAUAAAAUGCCUCAAUUGAAAAGCUGAACAUUAUUAAUAUAAUAAGGAAUAAUAUCAUAUAAUAACAUCAUAUGCUGAGGUUGCUAAAAUCUAUGGUAAGAACACAGUACAAAGUGCACCAGAGUUCUGCACUGUCCCUGGCUGAAGCAUCCACUGAGGGCACUAGAAGAUGUCAUCAGUAGGUAAUGUUGGAUACAGACUACCUCACCCUCACAAACAUACAUAAUAUGCCACACAAAGCAUUCAACAAACACAUAGCUUAAGCAUGUGCUUAUACAACAUGUAUACCAUCUCCCAUGCACACUAUCCUAUAUAGUUCACACACAUGCUCACAUUAAUCCCCACACAACCACUUCAUCUGCUACACACAUACACGCAUACUUUACAUAAUAGUGGUACUAAUCCCCUGCCUCACAUAUAUGCAUAUGCAGCUCACAUGCACACAAUAACCCAUAUGCAUACUAACUCAUAUACAUGCUCACACAGCUCAUAUGUAUGCCCAUACUUUUUACAUAUAUGCACAUAGCUGACACAUGAUAUAACCCAUCCAUACUACCUCACAUGCAUUCUCCCACUAUGCACAUACAUACACAGUACCUCACAUGCAUGUUCAUGCAGCUCACAGAUAUGCUCACAGAUGCACACAUAGCAUAAUACCCACAUAUACAAAUAUAUUCAUACUAACACAGUUGCUGACCACCUCACAUAUAUGCACACAUUUAUAUACUUUAUAUACAUACUCAUGCAGUUUACUCACAGUCUUACACAGCAACACGCAUACAUGUUCUUUAGUUACCCAUGAACUGUUGAGCCUUUGCACAUGUGGAAGUUGGUGGGCAUUGGCUUGUAUCCCCUAUCUGCUAUUCUAGAUUUCAUUGUUUUCUCUCUCCCAGGACCCAUGUGAUUUGUGCAUUUCUAUUCCAGUUAUAUGGCUGAGGAAACUGCUAUGAAAUAAAUUAAAACUUGCAAAUGGAUCAUCACUGGCUCCUUGGUAAACACACACUCUUCCCACACAUUUACCAGGGAGGAUCUCUGCUUUAGCCAUACUCUCCAGGCAACACCAGGUGAACAGUGUGGAGCUCUGAAGAAGGCCAUGGGCUUCCUGGUCUCCACUGGGUCCUGCAAGCCUCUCCUCAUUGUCACAAUAACAGGUGUUACUUAAAAAUAACUCAAUAGCCACAGUUGUCUGGGAAUAAGAUAGCAACUUCCUUCCUAACAUUCUGUGUGAUAUACAAGGGUCCUCGGAUGUUCAUGCUGACCCAAAACAUCAGCCGUCUGUGUCUUUCCUCAGCCUUAUUACCACCGCCCCAUGUUUCUGUGCUCGGUUCUGGAGCACACAGUGCAGAUUUUGUCCUGUGCUGUGAUGCAUGUUUUAUGUGAGAAAGUUCUGGAUCCAGGUAUGGCCACAUAGUUAUAAGGAAUGAUGACUUUGCCGGGAGAUGAUGGCAUGUUUGAAAGGUGCUGUGGUGUGAGCCUUUUGUAGCAUAAA